rnacentral:rRNA from 1 species
AUUGAACGCUGGCGGCAGGCCUAACACAUGCAAGUCGAGCGAGCAGCGGACGGGUGAGUACUGUCUGGGAAACUGCCUGAUGGAGGCGGAUAACUACUGGAAACGGUAGCUAAUACCGCAUACCAUCAGAUGUGCCCAGAGGGGAUUAGCUAGUAGGUGGGGUAACGGCUCACCUAGGCGACGAUCCCUAGCGGGUCUGAGAGGAUGACCAGCAACACUGGAACUGAGACACGGUCCAGACUCCUACGGGAGGCAGCAGUGGGGAAUAUUGCGCAAUGGGCGAAAGCCUGAUGCAGCCAUGCCGCGUGUGUGAAGAAGGCCUUCGGAUUGUAAAGCACUUUCAGCGGAGAGGCGUUACCCGCAGAAGAAGCACCGGCUAACUCCGUGCCAGCAGCCGCGGUAAUUC